UACAGGACCUAGUGCCAGGCUGGCUGACAAAUUAAGGACAUUUCUGACCUUUUAACUCAGUUAGAACCUUAGCGUGUUAGCUAACAGCAAAAAACGAGCCAGUAUCUCUCUUCAUAUUUACUGUUCAGUGACUUACCAACACACAGCAGUUGCGAUAGCCGUCUUAAAGUCCGAGAAGGAAAAGCGAAAACAGCCGUUCAGCAGCCCGCAGGUAGAGACGUUGACGCUGCCUGCGCUGUCAACACCGAGCUGACUCACACACCGCUGCUUCCUGUGUCACCUUCAAAGUAAAGGUCUCACAGCUGAACACCUCUUGCGACAUCUUCAAGCCAGAGUGAAAGUCCAGGAGUUUAAAGCAUGUGCCAGCUACUGAAGGAGGAGAGGGGACCCCAGCCAAACUGCUAUUAAUGGCUUUGUGAAGAUGUGUUAGGAGAUACAUACUGUAUGUACCUGCCCAGAUGGAAGAAAGAUUCUGAUGAAGACCCGAGUGCCUCCAGUGAACAGGUUGAGGUUUGAGGAAGAGAAUCUGGAGUGUGCGUCACAGUGCAUCAGGUCUGACACGUUCUGCUGGGAAGAAGAAUACAUUCCUCACCACCAGAUUGUCCAACACAGCACACACCCUUACAAUGUUGCAGACUUUGUUUGCAUUUAAAGCUUACAUUGCCUGAAACAGAAACAGCAUAAUUAUCAAAGGUUAUUAAAUGAAGUAAUUAAUCACGUCUUACCAAGAAGCCAUCCAACUGGCACUGCAGCAGCCUUUAAGUCUCCUCCCCACACAGCUUUGAGACAGUAUGAAUCAAUUGUGGCUUGACCUAGGCCAUUUGGCAACCACAUAAGUUAGCAUCAUUUGUGCAUCACAAAUGAUCUGGACAUUGACGAGGUGAUAAAGUAAAAAAUUCUUCCUCCCAAGGUGCCCUUAUUGCAACAUGUGUGCAGUCAUUAACUCUGAUUACAUUUGGGAAACCAGACUUUGCUGCGAAUCUUUGCUGCAUUUUGAUAAAUUUAAUAACAAACUGGAUAAAACCAUAAAGUUCUUCAAAUAACUUCAGCACAUAGAAAGAAACAAAAAUAAAAUCGCGACAGUUUGGAAGGUUAUUAAAACAUUUCCAGCCGACAAGCUUGUUUUAGGGAAGAGGAGACAGACUUUAGCUCUGUGUAAAAACUUUCUGACUGAUGAAAACUUAAAACAACAACUCUGGACCCAGUAUUUAGCAUAGCUCCAUCAGCUGUUGGCUGUAAACACACCGCUGCACACUGGCUGCUAAUUCCAAGCAACACAUUUAAUGCCAAUCUCAGGUGACAGCGGCGAGACAUGUG